rnacentral:rRNA from 1 species
UACAGAGGUGGCAAGCGUUGUUCGGAAUUACUGGGCGUAAAGGGCGCGUAGGCGGCCUUCUAAGUCAGACGUGAAAUCCCCCGGCUUAACCUGGGAACUGCGUCUGAUACUGGGAGGCUUGAGUAUGGGAGAGGGAUGUAGAAUUCCAGGUGUAGCGGUGAAAUGCGUAGAUAUCUGGAGGAAUACCGGUGGCGAAGGCAAUCCCCUGGACCUGUACUGACGCUCAUGCACGAAAGCGUGGGGAGCAAACAGG